rnacentral:rRNA from 1 species
UUUACGGAGAGUUUGAUCCUGGCUCAGGAUGAACGCUGGCGGCGUGCUUAACACAUGCAAGUCGAACGAUGAAGCCCAGCUUGCUGGGUGGAUUAGUGGCGAACGGGUGAGUAACACGU